AUCAUGGCUCAGAUUGAACGCUGGCGGCAGGCCUAACACAUGCAAGUCGAGCGGCAGCGGAAAGUAGCUUGCUACUUUGCCGGCGAGCGGCGGACGGGUGAGUAAUGUCUGGGAAACUGCCUGAUGGAGGGGGAUAACUACUGGAAACGGUAGCUAAUACCGCAUAACGUCGCAAGACCAAAGAGGGGGACCUUCGGGCCUCUUGCCAUCAGAUGUGCCCAGAUGGGAUUAGCUAGUAGGUGGGGUAACGGCUCACCUAGGCGACGAUCCCUAGCUGGUCUGAGAGGAUGACCAGCCACACUGGAACUGAGACACGGUCCAGACUCCUACGGGAGGCAGCAGUGGGGAAUAUUGCACAAUGGGCGCAAGCCUGAUGCAGCCAUGCCGCGUGUAUGAAGAAGGCCUUCGGGUUGUAAAGUACUUUCAGCGGGGAGGAAGGCGUUGAGGUUAAUAACCUCAGCGAUGACGUAC
rnacentral:rRNA from 1 species